rnacentral:rRNA from 1 species
AAAGGAAUUGACGGGGGCCCGCACAAGCGGAGGAACAUGUGGUUUAAUUCGAUGAUACGCGAGGAACCUUACCCGGGCUCGAACGGCAGAGGAAUAUGUAAGAGAUUACAUAGCCGCAAGGCUUCUGUCGAGGUGCUGCAUGGUUGUCGUCAGCUCGUGCCGUGAGGUGUCGGCUUAAGUGCCAUAACGAGCGCAACCCUUGUUGUCAGUUGCCAUCAGGUAAAGCUGGGGACUCUGGCAAGACUGCCACCGUAAGGUGUGAGGAAGGGGGGGAUGACGUCAAAUCAGCACGGCCCUUACGUCCGGGGCGACACACGUGUUACAAUGGAUGGUACAGAGGGGAGCUACUAUGUGAAUAGGUGCGAAUCUCGAAAGCCAUUCUCAGUUCGGAUUGGAGUCUGCAACCCGACUCCAUGAAGUUGGAUUCGCUAGUAAUCGCGCAUCAGCCAUGGCGCGGUGAAUACGUUCCCGGGCCUUGUACACACCGCCCGU